rnacentral:rRNA from 1 species
GAUGAACGCUGGCGGCGUGCUUAACACAUGCAAGUCGAACGGUGAAGCUCCAGCUUGCUGGAGUGGAUCAGUGGCGAACGGGUGAGUAACACGUGAGCAACCUGCCCCUGACUCUGGGAUAACAGCCGGAAACGGCUGCUAAUACCGGAUAUGCACCAUGAACGCAUGUUCUGUGGUGGGAAAGAUUUUUCGGUUGGGGAUGGGCUCGCGGCCUAUCAGCUUGUUGGUGAGGUAAUGGCUCACCAAGGCGUCGACGGGUAGCCGGCCUGAGAGGGUGACCGGCCACACUGGGACUGAGAAACGGCCCAGACUCCUACGGGAGGCAGCAGUGGGGAAUAUUGCACAAUGGGCGAAAGCCUGAUGCAGCAACGCCGCGUGAGGGAUGACGGCCUUCGGGUUGUAAACCUCUUUUAGCAGGGAAGAAGCGAGAGUGACGGUACCUGCAGAAAAAGCGCCGGCUAACUACGUG